AGCCCGCUCGCCGGAAGACCAAGGGUUCCUGUCCAACGUUAAUCGGGGCAGGGUGAGUCGACCCCUAAGGCGAGGCCGAAAGGCGUAGUCGAUGGGAAACAGGUUAAUAUUCCUGUACUUGGUGUUACUGCGAAGGGGGGACGGAGAAGGCUAUGUUGGCCGGGCGACGGUUGUCCCGGUUUAAGCGUGUAGGCUGGUUUUCCAGGCAAAUCCGGAAAAUCAAGGCUGAGGCGUGAUGACGAGGCACUACGGUGCUGAAGCAACAAAUGCCCUGCUUCCAGGAAAAGCCUCUAAGCAUCAGGUAACAUCAAAUCGUACCCCAAACCGACACAGGUGGUCAGGUAGAGAAUACCAAGGCGCUUGAGAGAACUCGGGUGAAGGAACUAGGCAAAAUGGUGCCGUAACUUCGGGAGAAGGCACGCUGAUAUGUAGGUGAAGUCCCUCGCGGAUGGAGCUGAAAUCAGUCGAAGAUACCAGCUGGCUGCAACUGUUUAUUAAAAACACAGCACUGUGCAAACACGAAAGUGGACGUAUACGGUGUGACGCCUGCCCGGUGCCGGAAGGUUAAUUGAUGGGGUCAGCGCAAGCGAAGCUCUUGAUCGAAGCCCCGGUAAACGGCGGCCGUAACUAUAACGGUCCUAAGGUAGCGAAAUUCCUUGUCGGGUAAGUUCCGACCUGCACGAAUGGCGUAAUGAUGGCCAGGCUGUCUCCACCCGAGACUCAGUGAAAUUGAACUCGCUGUGAAGAUGCAGUGUACCCGCGGCAAGACGGAAAGACCCCGUGAACCUUUACUAUAGCUUGACACUGAACAUUGAGCCUUGAUGUGUAGGAUAGGUGGGAGGCUUUGAAGUGUGGACGCCAGUCUGCAUGGAGCCGACCUUGAAAUACCACCCUUUAAUGUUUGAUGUUCUAACGUUGACCCGUAAUCCGGGUUGCGGACAGUGUCUGGUGGGUAGUUUGACUGGGGCGGUCUCCUCCUAAAGAGUAACGGAGGAGCACGAAGGUUGGCUAAUCCUGGUCGGACAUCAGGAGGUUAGUGCAAUGGCAUAAGCCAGCUUGACUGCGAGCGUGACGGCGCGAGCAGGUGCGAAAGCAGGUCAUAGUGAUCCGGUGGUUCUGAAUGGAAGGGCCAUCGCUCAACGGAUAAAAGGUACUCCGGGGAUAACAGGCUGAUACCGCCCAAGAGUUCAUAUCGACGGCGGUGUUUGGCACCUCGAUGUCGGCUCAUCACAUCCUGGGGCUGAAGUAGGUCCCAAGGGUAUGGCUGUUCGCCAUUUAAAGUGGUACGCGAGCUGGGUUUAGAACGUCGUGAGACAGUUCGGUCCCUAUCUGCCGUGGGCGCUGGAGAACUGAGGGGGGCUGCUCCUAGUACGAGAGGACCGGAGUGGACGCAUCACUGGUGUUCGGGUUGUCAUGCCAAUGGCACUGCCCGGUAGCUAAAUGCGGAAGAGAUAAGUGCUGAAAGCAUCUAAGCACGAAACUUGCCCCGAGAUGAGUUCUCCCUGACUCCUUGAGAGUCCUGAAGGAACGUUGAAGACGACGACGUUGAUAGGCCGGGUGUGUAAGCGCAGCGAUGCGUUGAGCUAACCGGUACUAAUGAACCGUGAGGCUUAACCUU
rnacentral:rRNA from 1 species